rnacentral:rRNA from 1 species
UGGCUAACUGGAGUCUACGGACCCUAGGGCGAUGCAGACAAGCUCACAUUCCUCACCGAGCUACAUGACCUACGUCUCACCAUGUCCGGCCCUUGGCUACUUGGCGGUGAUUUUAACAUGAUUACCUCUGCUUCGGAGAAGAAUAACGGCAAUCUCAACCAGCACACCAUGAGCCGUUUUCAACGCUUCAUCUUGGAUUUCGCCCUCCAUGACAUCUACAUGCAUGGUUGGCGUUACACCUGGUCGAACGAGCAGGCCGACCCCACCCUCGUCCGCAACAACUGUGUGCUAUGUACUUCCUCGUGGGAGACCUCAUUCCCGUAGUGCUUCCUGAGUUGUCUUGCUUCUGCCGUCUCUGAUCACUGCCCCCUCCUCGUCGAC